AGAGUUUGAUCAUGGCUCAGAAUCAACGCUGGCGGCGUGCCUCAGACAUGCAAGUCGAACGCGAAAGUUCCCUUCGGGGAGCGAGUAGAGUGGCGCACGGGUGAGUAACACGUAGGUAAUCUACCUUUGGAUGGGGAAUAACAACCGGAAACGGUUGCUAAUACCGCAUAAUGCAGCGGCACCUAAUGGUGACAGUUGUUAAAGCGGGGGAUCGCAAGACCUCGCGUCUGAAGAGGAGCCUGCGGCAGAUUAGCUAGUUGGUAAGGUAACGGCUUACCAAGGCGAUGAUCUGUAGCCGGCCUGAGAGGGCGGUCGGCCACACUGACACUGACAUACGGGUCAGACUCCUACGGGAGGCAGCAGUCGGGAAUUUUGGGCAAUGGGCGAAAGCCUGACCCAGCAACGCCGCGUGAAGGAUGAAAUCCCUCGGGAUGUAAACUUCGCAAGAACGGGAAGAAUAAGUAAGGGUUAAUAUCUCUUACGAUGACGGUACUGUUUGUAAGCUCCGGCUAACUCCGUGCCAGCCGCCGCGGUAAUAC
rnacentral:rRNA from 1 species